UGGGGAAUAUUGCACAAUGGGCGAAAGCCUGAUGCAGCAACGCCGCGUGAGUGAUGAAGGCCUUCGGGUUGUAAAGCUCUGUCUUUUGGGACGAUAAUGACGGUACCAAAGGAGGAAGCCACGGCUAACUACGUGCCAGCAGCCGCGGUAAUACGUAGGUGGCAAGCGUUGUCCGGAUUUACUGGGCGUAAAGGAUGCGUAGGCGGAUUUUUAAGUGAGAUGUGAAAUACCCGGGCUUAACUUGGGUGCUGCAUUUCAAACUGGGAAUCUAGAGUGCGGGAGAGGAGAAUGGAAUUCCUAGUGUAGCGGUGAAAUGCGUAGAGAUUAGGAAGAACACCAGUGGCGAAGGCGAUUCUCUGGACCGUAACUGACGCUGAGGCAUGAAAGCGUGGGUAGCAAACAGGAUUAGAUACCCUGGUAGUCCACGCCGUAAACGAUGAGUACUAGGUGUAGGAGGUAUCGACCCCUUCUGUGCCGCAGUUAACACAAUCAAGUACUCCGCCUGGGAAGUACGAUCGCAAGAUUAAAACUCAAAUGAAUUGAC
rnacentral:rRNA from 1 species